GAUGAACGCUGGCGGCGUGCCUAAUACAUGCAAGUCGAGCGAACAGACGAGGAGCUUGCUCCUCUGACGUUAGCGGCGGACGGGUGAGUAACACGUGGAUAACCUACCUAUAAGACUGGGAUAACUUCGGGAAACCGGAGCUAAUACCGGAUAAUAUAUUGAACCGCAUGGUUCAAUAGUGAAAGACGGUUUUGCUGUCACUUAUAGAUGGAUCCGCGCCGCAUUAGCUAGUUGGUAAGGUAACGGCUUACCAAGGCAACGAUGCGUAGCCGACCUGAGAGGGUGGUCGGCCACACUGGAACUGAGACACGGUCCAGGCUCCUACGGGAGGCAGCAGUAGGGAAUCUUCCGCAAAGGGCGAAAGCCUGACGGAGCAACGCCGCGUGAGUGAUGAAGGUCUUCGGAUCGUAAAACUCUGUUAUUAGGGAAGAACAAAUGUGUAAGUAACUAUGCACGUCUUGACGGUACCUAAUCAGAAAGCCACGGCUAACUACGUG
rnacentral:rRNA from 1 species